AGCAGCCGCGGUAAUUCCAGCUCCAAUAGCGUAUAUUAAAGUUGUUGCAGUUAAAAAGCUCGUAGUUGAAUUUCGGGAUCAAAUUGUUGGUCGUGCUUCGGUACGCACUGGCAUUAUUGGUUCCUACCUUCUGAAGAACCGCGAUGUCAUUAAUUUGGUGUCGUGGGGAAUCAGGACUGUUACUUUGAAAAAAUUAGAGUGUUUAAAGCAGGCGCACGCUUGAAUACAUUAGCAUGGAAUAAUGAAAUAGGACGUUUGAUUCUAUUUUGUUGGUUUCUAGGAUCGACGUAAUGAUUAAUAGGGAUAGUUGGGGGCAUUAGUAUUCAAUUGUCAGAGGUGAAAUUCUUGGAUUUAUUGAAGACUAACUACUGCGAAAGCAUUUGCCAAGGAUGUUUUCAUUAAUCAAGAACGAAAGUUAGGGGAUCGAAGACGAUCAGAUACCGUCGUAGUCUUAACCAUAAACUAUGCCGACUAGGGAUCGGAUGAUGUUAAUUUUUUAAUGACUCA
rnacentral:rRNA from 2 species